GAUGAACGCUGGCGGCGUGCCUAAUACAUGCAAGUCGAGCGAACAGAUAAGGAGCUUGCUCCUUUGACGUUAGCGGCGGACGGGUGAGUAACACGUGGAUAACCUACCUAUAAGACUGGGAUAACUUCGGGAAACCGGAGCUAAUACCGGAUAAGAUUUUGAACCGCAUGGUUCAAUAGUGAAAGACGGCCUUGCUGUCACUUAUAGAUGGAUCCGCGCCGUAUUAGCUAGUUGGUAAGGUAACGGCUUACCAAGGCAACGAUACGUAGCCGACCUGAGAGGGUGAUCGGCCACACUGGAACUGAGACACGGUCCAGACUCCUACGGGAGGCAGCAGUAGGGAAUCUUCCGCAAUGGGCGAAAGCCUGACGGAGCAACGCCGCGUGAGUGAUGAAGGUCUUCGGAUCGUAAAACUCUGUUAUCAGGGAAGAACAAAUGUGUAAGUAACUGUGCACAUCUUGACGGUACCUGAUCAGAAAGCCACGGCUAACUACGUGC
rnacentral:rRNA from 1 species